GCUUGCCACCGUCUUGGAAGCAGCCUGCCACCAUCUUGGGAGCUCUGUGAGCAAGGACCCCUGGUAUUUUGGCGACCACGAAGGGACAUCCAAAGCUCUUAACUAAUGCUUGUAAUGUUUACUGCCUGUCUUUUCAACUUGGUCUACUGAGUCUUUAAUACUGGUGACUGAGCUGCUUGAAGUGAACUCUGGACAAGGUGGAGAGCAUCUUCUUGAUUUAGGAUUCACAGUUUCUGAAAGGACCAUGGACUAAUUGGAUCACAAGCAAACUGAAACAUUACAGGAAAUAAUGCUGCAAAGCUGGGCAUAGUGACAUGCACCUGGAGUCCCAGCUACUCGGGAGGCUGAGGCAGGAGGAUUGCUUGAGCCCAGGAGUUCAAAGUUGCAGUGCACUAUCAUGGCACCUUUGAAGAGCCACUGCACUCGCACUCUAGCCAGGGGAGCAUAGUGACACUUCAUCUAUUAUAGAAAAUACUAUAUAAAAUUAUGAAAAGAGAGAAUACUGAAUGAAUAUAUAUAUAUAUAUAUAUAGCCUUUGUAAAUUUUUCUUCAGCAUAUCUAUCUAGGUGUUGCAUUAUUUUACCAAAUAAUAGAGUUCACAUAAAUCUGCAGAGUUUUCAAAGAGACUGUAUUGAAAUUAGUGCUUGCGUACAUUAUUAUUUAGUGAAAAUUUAAAAAUGAUGGCAUAAUGUUUUGUUUCACUUUCCCAUGUUAAUAGUAAGGUAUACCCAAAGUACAUUUCUUAUUAAGAAAAAAAGAAGACUGGGGUCACCUUGAUCAAAAAUUACCUGUAUACUAGUUCAAAUAUAUUAUAUAUGAACUACAGUUUAAGAAAUAUCAUCAAAUAUUAUUAAUAGAUUCUACUAUCUAAAAAUUCUGCUAUAGCAUUAUAUUUUAUGGCUAAAAAGCUUGAUACUGGUUGUUACAGUAAAUCUUUACUAAUUUAUGAAGCAUCAAAUUCAGAUUUUUAAAAAUUAUGUCAAGCUCAAGCUAUUUAGAAUUCAGUAUAAUUUUAUAUACUACAUAAAAAGAAAAUAGCUUAAAA